UACGUAGGGUGCAAGCGUUGUCCGGAAUUAUUGGGCGUAAAGAGCUCGUAGGCGGUCUGUCGCGUCGGCUGUGAAAUCCCGGAGCUCAACUCCGGGUCUGCAGUCGAUACGGGCAAACUGGAGUACUGCAGGGGAGACUGGAAUUCCUGGUGUAGCGGUGAAAUGUGCAGAUAUCAGGAGGAACACCGGUGGCGAAGGCGGGUCUCUGGGCAGUAACUGACGCUGAGGAGCGAAAGCGUGGGGAGCGAACAGG
rnacentral:rRNA from 1 species